rnacentral:snRNA from 1 species
AUAUUUAAAAAAAAACACAUAUCCUAAAAUUGGAAUGAUCACAGAGAUUAUCAUGGCCCCUGUGUAAGGAUGACAUGCAUUUGUGAAACUCCACAUUUUA